rnacentral:rRNA from 1 species
AUUGAACGCUGGCGGCAUGCCUUACACAUGCAAGUCGAACGGUAACAGGUCUUCGGAUGCUGACGAGUGGCGAACGGGUGAGUAAUACAUCGGAACGUGCCCGAUCGUGGGGGAUAACGAGGCGAAAGCUUUGCUAAUACCGCAUACGAUCUACGGAUGAAAGCGGGGGAUCUUCGGACCUCGCGCGGACGAAGCGGCCGAUGGCAGAUUAGGUAGUUGGUGGGAUAAAAGCUUACCAAGCCGACGAUCUGUAGCUGGUCUGAGAGGAUGAUCAGCCACACUGGGACUGAGACACGGCCCAGACUCCUACGGGAGGCAGCAGUGGGGAAUUUUGGACAAUGGGCGAAAGCCUGAUCCAGCCAUGCCGCGUGCAGGAUGAAGGCCUUCGGGUUGUAAACUGCUUUUGUACGGAACGAAAAGCCUCUUUCUAAUAAAGAGGGGUCAUGACGGUACCGUAAGAAUAAGCACCGGCUAACUACGUG